UGGCGGACGGGUGAGUAACGCGUGAGGAACCUGCCUUUCAGAGGGGGAUAACGUCUGGAAACGGACGCUAAUACCGCAUGACAUCAGAGGGCCACAUGGUCUUCUGAUCAAAGGAGCAAUCCGCUGAAAGAUGGACUCGCGUCCGAUUAGCCAGUUGGCGGGGUAAAGGCCCACCAAAGCGACGAUCGGCAGCCGGACUGAGAGGUUGAACGGCCACAUUGGGACUGAGACACGGCCCAGACUCCUACGGGAGGCAGCAGUGGGGGAUAUUGCACAAUGGAGGAAACUCUGAUGCAGCAACGCCGCGUGAGGGAAGACGGUUUUCGGAUUGUAAACCUCUGUCCUCAGGGACGAUAAUGACGGUACCUGAGGAGGAAGCUCCGGCUAACUACGUGCCAGCAGCCGCGGUAAU
rnacentral:rRNA from 1 species